GCCUUCGUGGUGGAGUGGUCAGCACGCUCGACGCGUAUUCCAGAAGUCCCUGGUUCGAGUCCCGGCGAGAGCU
rnacentral:tRNA from 1 species